UGUGUGUAUACGGAUAAAAAAUCUCUUUUUGACACGUACGGGAUAUAACAAACUUGUAGAGAAAAUAGAUGUGGCAACACACUUUGGGAGGUGGGCACACGCACACACGAUUAGAGUUGGACGGCUCCCUGCACGACCGACACCAAGCUUCAAUCAGCCGGUCGAGUUGUAUAAUAAUUUCCCAAAAUGAAAACACCACCAAAGAAAACCCUUUAUUGAUUCGUUCCUCAUCUCUUACCUCGAUCCCCUAUUCCGCCGCCGCGCGACCCGAGCGCUGGCCGCUGGCCGCAUCGUGGCCACAGGGAGGCCGUGCCGCCGCCGCUCGAGUACACACCCAGCGUUGCAUCCGCUCGAUUCCAUACCUCCACCGGCCGCUCUAGUCCACAGCCCACGCCGCCUCCUAUAGCCGCUCGAAUCCACUCGUCCACCGUCCGCAGGAGCUGCCGCCGGAGUCCACGGAUGGGAGACUGGGAGACGGCGGAAGAACAGGAUUUCGCCUCCGCCGACCAUUACUUGGACGCUGGUUCUCCACAAUCUGGUAGCGGGCGCCGCUGUUUCUCCACGUCGUCAGAUCGAGCCAGCUGAGGUUCAGACUGCAUGCUACAUGGAGGCAUGGAGGGGUUGGUCGGCUGUGUGCUUUGUGUUGGUACAAAACAACCUACUCUUUUCUGCUUGCUGGCUUUCUGCUGACUACUUGACCAACUUGCUUGGUGAUAUACUGCUGUGUGAGACCAUGUCUUGGUCAAAACUUAGUAUACUCUUAUAUUCAUGCUUGUAAUUCGGUCAGCUACGACACCACGUGCUUGUUUGGAACAUCAUUUUGUACUUUGGUCAACAACAGUUCAGAAUUGAGAUAUACACAUCUUGUUUGGAACUUUAUUUUGUA